rnacentral:lncRNA from 1 species
AGUUUGAGUACCCGGACCUGGGUCCACUCUGAGGAAGCUCAUGCAUCUUCAGCCUUGGAAGGGGACUUCAGGAGUCACCCGCGUGGACUACAGUCUCCUGGAAGUCGCUGAGAGCAUGGGUGGAGGAAGCGGAUCCUGCCUGCCUGGGUCGUGUUAGUGACGUCCGAACUGUGACCCAAAGAAUAGGGAAGUGUAUUCCAAGCGAGAGCAACGUGGGAAGAAGUCCAGCGAUAAUAAAAUUAGUUUGGGGAACUCAGAUUCAUUGUGGGGAAGCAACAGGUGUCCGGGGUGUAGGAUGAGCUGAGAAGACGCGACUAAUGAGCUAUAUAUUAAGGAGUUUCAAACUCGCUUGGGUUGUCCUUGGGACGACGAUGUCUUCGACAUCGGAAGAGAUCGAGAAUAGAGAAGAAGAUGGAUUCUUGAUUGUUUGCUAGGUAGUAUCCCUAGGAUUUGAGAUUGGUGCACAGAAGGGGCCUGGGUUUCAGAUUUUGGUUUAGGAAGGUGAAGGCAAGUUAGCCUUUUAUCAAAAUAUGAGAGAGGUUUGGAAGGGAGAAGGAAAUGCUUUAUGUCUGUAUUAAAUUUAAAGUCAUCUGACAAAAGAUCAGCACCAGCCGGACGGUGGUGGCGCACGCCUUUAAUCCCAGCACUCGGGAGGCAGAGGCAGGUGGAUCUCUGUGAUCUCCACAGCGAGUGCCCAGAUAGGCUCCAAAGCUACACAGAGAAACCCUGUGAACAAAAACAAAAAAAAGUGAAUAUAUAAUAUUUAUUUAUUUUAUCUACAGCAGGAUUUGUAUUUAUUAAGGAGUAUAAACAGUAGUAAUUUCAAGCUGUUCUCAAGUCUUCCUGGAGCCAAUUAGUUCAUUCAUUCUGACUGAACUUCCAAAGUUCAGAUCUUCCUUGGCUGUGUUGAUGAGCUCUUGCUUUUAUGCUCACUCUCACACUUUGACUCAUACACAUCAAAGACCCCAAGUGUGGAGUUAUAAACCUGUUGUUCCAGCUACUUGAGAGGCUAAGACAGGAGCAGCAUAAGGAAAACAGGCCUGCCUAAGGCUGCAUAUGGGUCCAAGGCUAGUCUGAGCAGCUUACUAAGACCCUUCCUCAAUAAGUAAAUAAAGUAUUGGAGAAUGCAGCUCGGUGAUACAGGGCUUAGAAGCAUAUGUGAGGCCCCAGGCUCAAUCUCCAGUACUAAAACCAACAGUGUGCAUGCUACAAAACAGUGAUAACCCCAGCAGAAGGAUCACAUAUCUGAGGGUAACUUAGGCUAGUAUAGCAAGACCCAGUUUAUAUAUGUCUCUGAUGUGUGCGUAUAUACGUGUGUGUGUACCAUUCCUAAAGAGAAAAUGCUGUUUGCUGUUAGCUAUUGGAAAAAGAUGUUUUGGAUUAGGAUGAAGGAAACUAAGUAAAACCCAGGUGCCACUGUACUCCUGAAGAGUUCUCCCUAACUGUAAUGCCUAGACAUCUACUCCAGUUUAUUCUCACACAAAGUUCAUGGCCAAGAUCAUCCAAGAUCACCACAAAAAGCUGAAUUUCUAGGUACCCUUAAGUCUGGUGCACUCUGCUCUUUAAAUGUGUUCAUCACAGGAUUGCUAAAAAGCCAUUAAUACAAUCAAUGAGUUUUGAAGGUGGCCUUUGAGUGAAAGCUGAUAAAUUUUGAACCAUCUGCAAGGGUCCUCCAAGGAUUCCAGGACAAGUUACUCCUUGAGACUAAUCACUAUCUACAUUGAGGGACUGACUGUCCUCUCUAAAUCCUUUGUUGAGUAUUUUCCAAAAUGUUUAUUGUAAAUUUCCAGUCAGCAAAAUGAGGAUAAUUGAACCUGUGUUUUAAAUGUAAAAAAUAGCUAGGCAUGGUGGCUUAGACUUAUAGUCCCAACACUCAGAAGGCGGGUAGAUGUCUGUGAAUUUGAGGCAGCCUGGUCUUCAGAACUGGGAGAGGGGCAAUAUGAGAACCGGUUUUUAUUCAAGACCAUUCUAGAAGAUAAAAGUGUGCAUGUGUUUCAAGAGAUCAAACAGGAGCCAGGUGUUGGUGGCACAUGCCUUUGAUCCCAGCACUUGGGAGGCAGAGGCAGGUGGAUCUCUGAGUUUGAGGCUGGGAUUAAAGGUGUGCCACCAGUGCCCAGUGAUCCACUUGCCUUUUUCUUCUGAGUGUUUAGAUUACAAAUAGAAAACUUUUACUGUGUAUUGUUUUUUUUUUUUUUUGAGAAAUUAGAAAAUGAAAAGCGGGGCUGGAGAGAUAGUUCAGUGGUUAAG